rnacentral:rRNA from 1 species
UCGGUUGGGGAUGGGCUCGCGGCCUAUCAGCUUGUUGGUGAGGUAAUGGCUCACCAAGGCGUCGACGGGUAGCCGGCCUGAGAGGGUGACCGGCCACACUGGGACUGAGACACGGCCCAG